GGCUCAGAACGAACGCUGGCGGCGUGCUUAACACAUGCAAGUCGAACGAACCUUCGGGUUAGUGGCGGACGGGUGAGUAACGCGUGAGAAUCUGCCCUCAGGAGGGGGAUAACGGUUGGAAACGACCGCUAAUACCCCAUAUGCCGAGAGGUGAAAAGAAAUUCGCCUGAGGAUGAGCUCGCGUCUGAUUAGCUAGUUGGUGUGGUAAUGGCGCACCAAGGCUUCGAUCAGUAGCUGGUCUGAGAGGAUGAUCAGCCACACUGGGACUGAGACACGGACCAGACUCCUACGGGAGGCAGCAGUGGG
rnacentral:rRNA from 1 species